rnacentral:rRNA from 1 species
UACGAGUGCCCCAAGCGUUAUCCGGAAUUAUUGGGCGUAAAGGGUGUGUAGGUGGUUUUGUUAGUCUUCUGUUAAAGCUCCCGGCUUAACCGGGAAAGUGCAGAGGAAACGGCAAGACUAGAGGAUGUGAGAGGUUUAUGGAACUCAUGGUGUAGGGGUGAAAUCCGUUGAUAUCAUGGGGAACACCAAAAGCGAAGGCAAUAAACUGGCGCAUUCCUGACACUGAAACACGAAAGCGUGGGUAGCGAAUGGG